rnacentral:rRNA from 1 species
GUGGGCUUAUGGGCCCUGGGCGGUUGAAAGAAAGCGUUAUGGCCUUUCCUCCCCCAAAUCCGAAUGGGCUCGCCGGCGGCGAGCUCGGCCACUCCGGCUCCGGCGACCGAGCCUCCCCUCCCCAUCUCUCUCCAGCAUACAUAGUCUCCGUGCCCCCCAGCCCCUCCCCUCUCCUUUCCACCACCGGACGGCAAAGGCGCGCGCUCGGCGGCGCACCGUCGGUCAGUCGCCAGACUCCUUCCACCGGCUAUCGAAAGGGUUGUCUCUGCGGUGGCGCAUGCUGGUGGGCGGCGAGCUGGCUGGUUGGCUCCGAUCCGGUUGGGCGGUGGGGUUUGGAGUUGGGAGAAAUCCUUGCCGGGUCUUUCGGCUACGAUGCGGUGACGCCUGCGGGUGCCACCAUUCCUCCCUGGAGGGUGUCGGUGGUCUUCAUUCCCCUCUAUCCUCCGCGUGCCGCGGGAAACCCUAGGACACGUCCGGGCAGCAGCGUCGUCGGCGUUGCAUUCCUUCCUGGGGGUGCUGCUUGGUACGCGGAGGAUCGGAGCCUAGGAUCGUGGUGGGUAGAUUUCGGAGGGCGCAGCGGUACUGGGUCAUCCGCGCUUUGUCGAGCUGCAGGUGUUGGCCUUGUUUCUUCUUCUUUUUCUUUGGCUUGUUGUGUUGCUCGCCCCAGCGUUUGCUCUGUGCUCGGUGUUGGUGCUUUGGAAUACAAAGCGGGGGGAAACCCUUUUUCGGUAAAGGGUUGGGCUUUGGUUUCCGCAUGGGCUAUAUAUCGUUAGGUGUCCCUGAUUGGAGGUUGGUUUCCGACUCACUUUACCCUUCAGUUUGAAGAAAUACUUGUGUGAAUGUCAGGUGUAAUUUGGUUUCCCACUAUUGGUUAAGGAAUGCUAAUAAUGAAAUAACUGAUAGAGCUGCUAAUGGAUUUCAUGUCC